rnacentral:rRNA from 1 species
CGGUAAAACGUAGGACGCAAGCGUUAUCCGGAUUUACUGGGCGUAAAGAGCGUUGAGGCGGUUCUGUAAGUUGGGCGUGAAAGCCCUCGGCUUAACUGAGGGACGCCGUCCAAUACUGCAGGACUUGAGGGCAGCAGAGGGAGGUGGAAUUCCCGGUGUAGCGGUGAAAUGCGUAGAGAUCGGGAGGAACACCAGUGGCGAAGGCGGCCUCCUGGGCUGCUUCUGACGCUGAAUGCGAAAGCUAGGGUAGCGAACGGGAUUAGAAACCCCGGUAGUCCUAGCUGUAAACGAUGGAUGCUAGGUGUAGGAGGUAUAGAUCCCUUCUGUGCCGAAGCUAACGCGAUAAGCAUCCCGCCUGGGGACUACGGCCGCAAGGCUAAAACUCAAACGAAUUGACGGGGGCCCGCACAAGCAGCGGAGCGUGUGGUUUAAUUCGAUGCUACACGAAGAACCUUACCUGGGUUUGACAUGUAGGUAGUAGUGAAGCGAAAGCGGAACGACCCUUCGGGGAGCCUACACAGGUGCUGCAUGGCUGUCGUCAGCUCGUGCCGUGAGGUGUCGGGUUAAGUCCCGUAACGAGCGCAACCCCUGUCCUUAGUUACAAGUGUCUAAGGAGACUGCCGGCGACAAGCCGGAGGAAGGUGGGGAUGACGUCAAGUCAGCAUGGCCUUUAUGUCCAGGGCUACACACACGCUACAAUGGCCGGUACAAUGGGUUGCCAAGCCGUGAGGCGGAGCUAAUCCCCCAAAGCCGGUCUCAGUUCGGAUUGUGGGCUGCAACUCGCCCACAUGAAGUU